AGUGCGGAACAACAUGGAGAAAUUCAUGCUAAUGCCGCAUAAUGCCGUAAGGCCAAAGAUUUAUCGCCUUUGGAGGGGCCCGCGUAGGAUUAGCUAGUUGGUGGGGUAAAAGCUUACCAAGGCGACGAUCCUUAGCUGGUUUGAGAGGAUGAUCAGCCACACUGGGACUGAGACACGGCCCAGACUCCUACGGGAGGCAGCAGUGGGGAAUAUUGGACAAUGGGCGAAAGCCUGAUCCAGCAAUGCCGCGUGAGUGAAGAAGGCCUUCGGGUUGUAAAGCUCUUUUGUCCGGGAAGAUAAUGACUGUACCGGAAGAAUAAGCUCCGGCUAACUCCGUGCCA
rnacentral:rRNA from 1 species